CAUAUACACAAUGAAAUAUUAUUCAGUCAUGAAAAAGAAUGAAAUUCUGUCAUUUACAGCAACAUAGAUGAACUAGGGGGCAUUAUAGAAAGGGAAAUAAGUUAGGCCCAAAAAGACGAGUGUCACAUGUUAUUACUUAUAUGUGAGAGCGUUCAUAAAGGUAGAGAGUAGAGCAAUAGAUACCAGAACCUGCGAAAGGCGUGUAGGGGUGGAGAAUGAAGAGUAUCUGGUUAAUGAUUACAGCAUACAAUUAGAUAGAUGGAAUAAGAUCCACUGGUUGAUAGCAAAAUAGGGUGACGAGAAUUAAUAAUUUAUCGUAUAUUUCAAAAUAGAAGAUUUGGAAUGUCAGCAACAAAAAGAAAUAAUAAAUGUUUGAGGUGAUAGAUAUCCCAAUUACCCAGUUUUGAUCAUUACACAUCGUAUAUUUGUAUCAAAAUACGACAUGUGCCCCAUAAAUAUGUACAACAAAUUUAUAUCAAAUUUUGAAAAUGG